AUUGGAUUAGGGCCCACACGAAUGACCUCAUUUUAACUUACUCGCCUGUUUAAAGACCCUAUCUCCAGAUACAAACACAUCCUGAGGUGGUGCAGUUUUCAAACCUGUUGUUCUUAAACCUGGAGUGCUAUAAAGUUGAUAGUUUUUUAAAAAUAAAAUUAAUAUAUAUUUGAAAACUGCUGACUGCAUUUUCAUCCUGACCCGUCUUGCUUCCAACAAUGGAAACCAGUCACUUUCCCAUCUCCACUGCCUUAUGAAUGAGCCAGAUGACACUGGGACCCCAGGAUUCUCAGCACUCCAUGUCUGAGGCAGUCUACACCUAGUAGUGGCAACUGGAUGGAAGAAGGAAUUCAUGAUACCUUGGCUGAAAUUGCCUAGAAUGUAGCCUCUGCUACAAGUAGCUGGGGGACAGGAUGAGACAUGCUGAUGUGCUACUCCUCUUGGGAAGAUAUCUUAGCCCUUGACUUGCUGCUGGGGGAAAUGGGAGCCAUCGGUUUUUGGCUACACCAGUCUGGAGUGAAGUUUCUUUUACAUUGAGCUGGGAAGACAAGAAAGGAAGGAUAUUAUAACUUAAAUGCCAUAGACUUUCAUAUUCUUAUUCAAUUUUAGUAGACUUACAUGGAUUUAUUAGAUUUUCUAUCAUGUUCCAGAAAUACAAAUUAGCUGCCUUCUUAAAAUUUUUCACAAGUUUCACUGGGGAGUUGGUCUGCCCAGAUCCUUAUGUUGCCAUGCUGGAUGUGGAAUUCCCCAUGGUUCCUUUCAAAGUUAUUUUGUCCUUAUUUCCUUCUAAAGUAACUCUGCUAAAGAUUGGCAUAAAUUUUUCAUCUUCACUUGCAUUUGACAUAGAUGGCUUUGACAUGGACAUGAGAGCCAUUGGAUUGAGAUGUUCACUGCAGCCUUUAUCACCAAGUGAACUUAGUUCAUUUGACUGGGGUAUUUGUUAUCUAUUGUUAGGUACCAAAAUAUCACAGUCCUAGUGGCUUAAAAUGACAUACACUCAUUACAGUUUCUCAGUGUCAGCUGUCAAAGCCUGACUUAGCUGGAUCUUUUAAUUAAUUAUCUCUCAUAAGACUAUAAGCAAUGUGUUGAUCAAGAAACUGAUUUCAUCUCAAAGCUCAACUGGUGAGUUACUUCUGAGCUCAUGCAGUGUUGACUGCUGAUAGUUCCUUGUCAGUUGUAAGCCUAAGGACUUGAGUGUCUUCUUGGCUGUUGGCUGGGGCCACCCCAUUGUUCCUUAUGAUUUUCUUUAUGAUUAGGUCACCUCCCUAGGGAAGCUUGCAACAUAGCAGCUUGUGUCAUCAAAACUGGCAAGGGAUAAGAGAAUCUAUUAGCAAGACAGGUUACCAUAUUAUGCAAAGUAGUCAUGGAAUGACAUCCACCUUUGCCAGAUUCUACUGCUGAGAAGUGAGUCACAGGGUCCCACCCACACUCAGAAGGAGAGCACUAAAGAGGAGUAUGAAUUUAAAGAGUUAGAGAUUUAGGGGUCAAUCUUAGGGUUGGUCUGCCCCAGUUGGGAAGGGGUCUCUUUCUGCCUUGAUCCGUGGCUGGGCCUCUGCCAAAGAGGGUAACACUUCCACAGAAAGGAGCCUGCAAAGAGCCUAUUUUAAGUCUUUGGGUUUUUCCCCCAGACAUUUCUUCUUCCUGGAAUUCUGGGCAUUAAUGUAUUUUAGUUACUUUUAUACCAUUAACAGCCUUCUUUCUCUGGCUCCUUAAUGUGUUUUUCUUUGCUGUCUCUCAUGUGUGUAGGUUUUUGCUGGAGAUCUGCCUUAUCCCUCUGUCAUUCCCAACUACAGUAAAUCCCUCAAGGAUUUUAUUCUCUGAUAGUUACACUUUAACUCCAUGAAGAGAGACUCUCAACCUACAUUGUUUUACUCACUUUCUCUCAUCUCCUCAUUUGUAUGCCCAAUCACCUGGCUGGAAAUACCUGGUUAUUUUUAAGGCUUUUUAAAAUGUAGUUUUUUCAAAAAAUGAACACAAAUACCUGCAGAAGCAUAUAUUUCCAUUUCCCCAAAAAGAAAACUUACAGUUUAUGAACACCCUGCACCCCGUGAGCUAAGUACUUUCUACACUCCCUUCUCAUGGCAUCAUGUGUGUGUAUGUGUGUGUGUAUACUCCCAAAGAUUUGUGAUGAACAUAUAUUCUUAUAUGUCAUUUUUCUUUAGAAACUUUUGCUGUCUCUUAUCUGAUCACAGAGUGAUUCCAUUUUCUUGGAUAGCAACUAAAGCCCCUCACACUAUUUAGAAUCUACUUUUGGCAAAUCGACACCCAAUCCCUUCCUCUACUUUUUCAAUUCACUCGCUGAUUAUCCUAAUCAGCGCAUGGUUUCAUCAGCACACCAGACUGUUUAUGCCUUUAUAAUAACACUCAUGCAAUAUUACUGCCUAUUGUAUUGUCUGAUAAGGAUCCUAUUAAUUAGAAAUACAUCAUGAAACAGGAAAAAAUAAAAAUUUUAUGUAUUUCUAUAAACACAUUUGAAAGAACAAUAAUAAUGUGAGUAUGCGUGCAAUCACUACUAAGAUUUAAUAAUAAGACUUUGUAACUACCAGGCAUACAACCUGUAUAUGUUCUUCCCCAAUUGUAUCUUCCCACCCUCUCUCUUAAGCUAUUUUGACAUUUCAAUAGCACUCCCUUGCUUUUUGUAAAUAUAAUUUUAUAACCUAUACAUGGAUAUUUAAAUAAUGAGAUAUUUGAUUUUACCUUGUUUCGCAAUUCAUAUGAAUAGAGUCAUAUUAUAAGUAUUCUUCUAUUACUUGCAGUUUUUGCUGAAAAUUAUAUUUCUAAGAUUCAGCUAUUUUGGUGCCUUUGGCUGUAUUAUUAAUCUUUUUAUUACUUUGUAAUAUUCCAUUUUACAGUAUGCCACAAUUUAUUUAUCUAAUCUACUGUUGGAGAUUUAAAUUGUUUUCAGAUUUUGGCUGCUACAAAUGAUGCUGUUUUAUAUAUUCUUAUACAGGUCUUGUAGCUCACAUAUGCAAGAGUUUCUUUAAAAUCUGUACCUAGGUUUGAAAUUUCUUUAGUUAAGAACAUGUGAGUGUUGGUUUUUGCCAAAAUGAGUUGCACGAUUGCUGUGGUUUGAGUGUUUGUCUCCUCUAAAACUCAUGUUGAAUUUUAAUUGCCAUUGUAACAAUAUUAAGAGGUAGGAGUUUUAGAGGUGAUUAGGUCAUGAGAGCUGCUCUCAUUGUUGGAUUAAUGUUGUUACUGUGAGAGUGGUUCUGUUACAGUAUAAGUGGGUUUCUUAUAAAAGGAGGAGUGCGGUCCCCUUUCUCUCUCCCUCUUACUUUUUCUUUGCCCUUCUGCCAUGAGAUGACACAACAAAAAAAGCCCUCACCAGAUGCUGGGCCCAUGUCUUGGACUUCCCAGACUCUAGAAGUAUGAGCCAAUAAAUUUAUCUCCAUUAUAAAUUAUGCAGUCUCAGGUAUUCUGUGAUAGCAGCACAAAACAUAGUAAGAUAAUUUACACACUUAUCUGCUCUGUAUGGAAUUGCCAUAGCUACACAUUCUAAUGCUUUUUCAUACAAGAUAUCUGUGAUAGUUCAUUUUAUAUGUCAAGAUGACCUGAUUAAGGGAUGCCUAGGUAGCUAGUAAAGUGUUACUUAUGGGUGUGUCUCAGAACGUUUCCAGUGGAGACUGGUGUGUGAAUCAGUGAACUGAGUGUGGGAGAGCUGUCCUCAAUGAGGAUAAGCACCAUCCAGUUGGUUCCAGUCCCAGAUAAAAAGACAAAGAAAAGGCAAAUUCGCUUUCUCUCUCCCUCCUGGAGCUCGAGAGCCUUUGUCUCUUGCCCUUGGACAUCAGAACUCCAGGUUCUCCAGCCUUUAGACUCUAGGCUUUCACCAGCAGCCCCCUGGGUUUUCAGGCCUUUGCGCUGAGACUAAAAAUUACACCAUCAGCUUCCCUCGUUCUGAAACUUUGGACUUGCGCUGAGCCAUGAUAAUGGCUUCCCUGGGCCUUCAACUUGCAGACUCUGGUCUGUUGUAGGACUUCUCAGCCUCCAUAAUCACAUGAGCCAAUUCCAGUAAUAAAUUCCCUCUCAUCUAGCUAUCCGUUCAUCCAUCCAUCCAUUAAUCCAUCCAUCCAUCUAUCAAUAUCUUAUUGGUUCUAUCUUUCUGAAAAUACUGAUUAAUGCCAUGUCUUAAUAUUUACCAACUGUAGGGUCCAGCCCUACAGGGCUUAGUGGGUGUUCUCCCCAUGUGUGGAGAGGAGAGAUUGUAGUAAAUAAAGGCACAAGACAAAGAGAUAAAGAGAAAGCAGCUGGGCCCAGGGACCACUACCAUCAAGACACAGAGACCAGUAGUGGCCCCAAAUGGCUGGGCUCACUGAUAUUUAUUGCAUACAAGACAAGGGGGCAGGGUAAGAAGGGUGAAUCUUCUAAGUGAUUGACAAGGUGAAUCAAGUCACGUGAUUACAGGAUAGGGGUCCUUCCCUUUUAGGUAGUCAAAGCAGAGAGAGAGAGAAGGCAGCAUAUGUCAGCGUUUUCUUCUCUGCACUUAUAAGAAAGAUCAAAGACUUUAAGACUCACUAUUUCUUCUACCGCUAUCUACUACGAACUUCAAAGAGGACCCGGGAGUACGGGAGGAGCAUGAAAGUGGACAAGGAGCAUGACCACUGAAGCACAGCACCACAGGGAGGGGUUUAGGCCUCCGGAUGACUGCGGGCAGGUCUGAAUAAUAUCCAGCCUUCCACAAGAAGCUGGUGGAGCAGAAUGUUCCCUGACUCCUCCAAGGAAAGGAGACUCCCUUUCGCGGUCUGCUAAGUAACGGGUGCUGUCCCAGACACUGGUGCUACCGCUUGACCAAGGAGCCCUCAAGCGGCCUGUAUGUGGGUGUGACAGAGGGCUCACCUGUUGCCUUCUAGGUCACUUCUCACAGUGUCCCUUCAGCACCUGACCCUGUACCCACCGGUUAUUCCUAGGUUCUAUUAGAAAUGCAACAAAGAGUAAUAUUAAAAGCUAAUGAUUAAUAAUGUUUAUAAUAAUGAUUGAUAAUUGUCCAAGAUCAUCGCUAUAUCUAAUUUGUAUUAUAACUAUUGUUAUUCUAUUUUCUUUAUUAUAUUGAAACAGUUUGUGCCUUCAGUCUCUUGCCUCGGCACCUAGGUAAUCCUCCGCCCACAAUCAACCUAUUAGAGUUGUAAUGAUGUCUUUUGCAGGUUUAAUUUAUGUCUUCCUCCUUGCCAAUGAUGUUUAGCAUAUUUUCAUGUGUUUCCUGGCCAUUUAAGUUUUCUGUUUUUUGCAGUGGCUGUUGAAAUCUUUUGCUCCCUUCUAACUGGAUUUUUCCCUUUUUCUUAUUAAUUUAUGUGUUCAUUUACAUAUUCUAGACAAAGAGGUGGCACACAUUUUUUACAAUCUUCAUGACAUAUUUUGAUGCAAACACUUUUAAAAUUUUUAUUAUAUGCAAGUCUAUCAAUAUCUACCUUUACAAUGUUUGCUUUAUUUUCUUAAGAAAGCAUUCAUAUAAAGUCUUGAUAAUUGCUGAUACUAUUAUUUAUGAACUUUAAAAUUUAUCUUUUUAAUCCAUCCAGAAUUAAAUAGUUGCAUGGUGUGAGAAAGUGGUUUGACUUCAUUUUUUUCCCAUUGAAGAUACGCCAUUAUCUUGUCACAAUUUAUUAACAUGUACCUCAUUUCCCCACUGAUGUGUCAUAUCACCUCUGUCAUUCAUCCGUUUCUGAGAUCUACAAUCUUUUCCACUUAUCUUUUGGAACUUAUUUUAAAAUCACACUGUUCUAUUUUUAUCACUUCAAAACAAACCUUAGUGUUUCAUAGGGUUAAUCUCUCCACCUUGUCCCAUUUUUCAAUGAUUUGGAAGUUUUAGAAGUAAAGAGAAAUUUUGGAAACAUUUAGUCAUUUUCCUGUUAAAUAAAUACAUAAACUGUAUGUGGUGGCUCAUAUUUGUAAUCCCAGUGCUUCGGGAAGCCCAAGGCAGAGGAUUACUUGAGGCCAGCAGUUUAAGACUAGCUUGGGCAACAACACAGAGAGACCCCCUUCUCUACAUUAAAAAGAAAACAAUUAGCUAGGCAUGGUGGCAUUUGCCUGUAGUCCUAGCUACUCGGGAUGCUGAGGUGGAAGAUCCCUUAGGCACAGGAAUUGGGGGCUGCAUUGAGCUAUGACCUUUCCACUGCCCUGCACUCCAGCCUGGGUGACAGAGUGAGAUUCUGACUCUAAAUACAUGCAUACUUAGAUACGUGCAUAUGUGCAUACAUAAGCCAUUGUAAUUAAACCUCUUGAGAUUUGAUGAAGAUUGCAAUGAUUCUAUAGAUAAAUUCAUGGAAAGGUAGAAUCUCUAAAAUAUUGAGUCUUCCAAUCUAUGAACAUGCUUUUCUUCAUUUAUAUAACUUCUUUUGUAAAUACUUUUCUUUAAUAACAUU
rnacentral:lncRNA from 1 species